UACGAAGGGGGCUAGCGUUGUUCGGAAUUACUGGGCGUAAAGCGCACGCAGGCGGAUCGAUAAGUCAGGGGUGAAAUCCCGGGGCUCAACCUCGGAAUUGCCUUUGAUACUGUCGAUCUCGAGUCCGGGAGAGGUGAGUGGAAUUCCUAGUGUAGAGGUGAAAUUCGUAGAUAUUAGGAAGAACACCAGUGGCGAAGGCGGCUCACUGGCCCGGUACUGACGCUCAGGUGCGAAAGCGUGGGGAGCAAAC
rnacentral:rRNA from 1 species